GGUCUAUGGCAUAUCAUGGCUUAUGAUCUUCCUUAUAGUAUUUGUGGUGUUGAUUUUUUUCUACGAUGAAUUAAAUGUCAGCGAUGAGUUCAUCCUCAUCGUUCGGGCAAUCAAGGGACUUUCGCUCGUCCUUGGUAGCCAUUUUCGUUUUGUACAUGACAAUGCACGACUUAAUGCUUUGCAUUCUUGCUUUCUUGCUAACGGGUUGGGGAAUCAUUUUGAUUGCACAAGCUUACAAACCUCAUGUCGUCAAGCUUGGAAUUUGGGGAUCAGUUCUUACUCUUGCCCAUUAUUACGAGAUCAUGAUGGGUUUGUUUCUGUUCAUUCCAGUUGUAAUCCUGGCUUUGAAUCCAAUUGUCUCAGAACUCCAGACCCGUAUUCUC